rnacentral:rRNA from 1 species
UGAGUACGAGCUGCUACGGCAGCGAAGUGGGUGAUGUCAUGCUUCCAAGAAAAGCCCUAUACCCGUUAAGGCAUGAUGGCCUGUACCCGAAACCGACACAGGUGGGGUGGUAGAGAAUACCGAGGGGCGCGAGGUAACUCUCUCUAAGGAACUCGGCAAAAUGGCCCCGUAACUUCGGGAGAAGGGGUGCCACCGCAAGGUGGUCGCAGUGAAGAGGCCCAGGCGACUGUUUACCAAAAACACAGGUCUCCGCUAAGUCGCAAGACGAUGUAUGGGGGCUGACGCCUGCCCAGUGCCGGAAGGUUAAGGAAGCUGGUCAGCGUAAGCGAAGCUAGCGACUGAAGCCCCGGUGAACGGCGGCCGUAACCAUAACGGUCCUAAGGUAGCGAAAUUCCUUGUCGGGUAAGUUCCGACCCGCACGAAAGGCGUAACGAUCUGGGCGCUGUCUCGGAGAGAGGCUCGGCGAAAUAGAAUUGUCUGUGAAGAUGCGGACUACGUGCACCCGGACAGAAAGACCCUAUGAAGCUUUACUGUAGCUUGGUAUUGUGCUCGGGCUCGGAAUGCGCAGGAUAGGUGGGAGGCUAUGAACCAUUGCUUGUGGGUGAUGGUGAGCCACUGGUGAGAUACCACUCUUUCCGAGCUAGAGUUCUAACAGCCACCCGUUAUCCGGGGGCUGGACAGUAUCAGGUGGGCAGUUUGACUGGGGCGGUCGCCUCCUAAAAGGUAACGGAGGCGCGCAAAGGUUUGCUCAGGCUGGUUGGAAAUCAGCCGACGAGUGUAAAAGCAGAAGCAAGCUUGACUGUGAGACCUACAAGUCGAACAGGGAGGAAACUCGGCUUUAGUGAUCCGACGGUUCUGCGUGGAAGGGCCGUCGCUCAACGGAUAAAAGUUACUCUAAGGAUAACAGGCUGAUCUCCCCCAAGAGUUCACAUCGACGGGGAGGUUUGGCACCUCGAUGUCGGCUCAUCGCAACCUGGGGCUGAAGUCGGUCCCAAGGGUUGGGCUGUUCGCCCAUUAAAGCGGUACGCGAGCUGGGUUCAGAACGUCGUGAGACAGUUCGGUCCAUAUCCGGUGCAUGCGCAGGAAUAUUGAGAGGAUUUCUCCCUAGUACGAGAGGACCGGGAGGAACGCACCUCUGGUGUACCAGUUAUCGUGCCAACGGUAAACGCUGGGUAGCCAUGUGCGGAGAGGAUAACCGCUGAAAGCAUCUAAGUGGGAAGCCCACCUCAAGAUGAGUAUUCCCAUGGGGUAACCCAGUAAGGUCACGGGAAGAACACCCGUUGAUAGGCUCUACGUGGAAGCGCAGUAAUGUGUGAAGCGGAGGAGUACUAAUAGACCGAGGGCUUGAC